CAUUAUUUUAAACAAUAUUAUAUUAAAAGUAAUUAGAAAAAUAUUUCAGUUAAAAAAAAAAUAUAUAUCCUAUUUUCCCCUCUUAUGGUAAGACAUGGCAGGCCAAAUCAAUGGUCAUAACAGGCCAACUUUGACCCCAAAAUUAGGAAAAAUUUGCCAUUCACAAUGUAUUACACUUCCAUAAUUUCACAUAUCUGUGAGAAGAAAUGUAGAGUAGAAACUAAUUUAUCCAUCAGUAAUUGAUUGGAUCUUGAAAAGUGGGCGUUACCAUAAUGGAGCCAGACUGAGUAUGAUUAACUAAAAGUAAACUAUAACAGCUGUUAGAUAAUAUUAUCCAAUAGCCUGUAAGGGAUUCAGUAAUGUCAGCAGAAAAUAAAAAUAAAAAGUCAUUACAGAGGAAGAUCACAGCAUUUAAAAUUGGAUUACAGAUUAUGAACAGAAGCAUUUUUUUCCCCUUAGGAAUACUGUGGAACAAAUAUUAAUAAUUUACAAUGGAGUCUGCUUGUCUUUGAAAUCUUUAAUCCAACUGUAAGAACUUGAUCUUCUUCUAAAAUCACUUUUCUUCUUGUUACAUCCCUAUGUGACAUUAGGAGGUGUUUGUUUCCGUGCUGUUUUUCUGCCGCUCUCUGUUUUACUUUUGUUUUUGCAGGGCGUGCUGAUUGGUACAUGCCACUGUCAAUCAUCGUCAAGGGCUGAGUCCAGUGUGCUGAUGUCAGGAGGCGAUUUGCCAAUGAUUUGUUGCUGGAAUCCCGAGAACUUUUAAAGAAGGCAGGUCUACAUUCAUAAGGAGGCUUGCCACCAUGCCACUCUGUUAAUGCAUUGUGUUUAUUCUGCUUUCUUUGUUUUGGGUUACCAGGGGGUUUAUUUUUCGUUGUUACUGCAGUCACUUUUAACAACCUUAACUCUUUCCCUUCCUUCAUUUGUGAUUAUUAACGUUGUGUUAGCGAUCGCUGCUGACAUCGUGAGACAGAAAACACCCUAAAGUCCAAACCCAGCUGACACGAAUCAUAAACGCACCGAUGACAGAUUGAUGUUGGCAGCAGCUUUCCCCCUCCGGACUUCAUGCACUGCACAGCUAACUUAAUACAGCUGCUAGCCAUGUCCACCACACAUCUGCUAACAGUCUGAUACAAACCUACUCACAUCUAUCGCAUUCUUCAGCGGCGCAUCUUCAGAGAGCUGAGCUUACGAGCAGCUGAACGGUCAUCUAUAAGAGCAUUCCGUGAAAUAACAUCUCAUCCACUGUAGCUAGCAGCAAAUCUAGCCGGACUUACUGUAUGCUGGUGUCGCUUCUACGAAGUUCCGGGCGGAAACAGCGGAACCUUCUGCUGACGGUCAACACUCACUGCCAGUUCAAUGUCUGUGUUUACAAGUGUUAAUUAUUGUAAUUGUUACAAAUAUCAUAUUUAUUCAGUUACAUCGCUAUUGAUAAAUCUUAUACAUUUCUACAAUUGAAACGUGUGACAAUAUGUGACAACUUGUGGAAAUUAACUUUCAACUUGUCCCAUGUGAUAUUUAUGGAAAAUACCUGGUAGGCAAUCCUUCACUGACUCGUCUGUGAAUGUUUCUUAGUCUAUUGUAUUAAAAAUUAAAAUAGCAUGAUGAUAUUAGAUGGCUGUGGUGUAGUGGUGCCGAGAAGUGGGUACUUAAUUUAUGCCCCCAACCCAGCAAAUUAUAUGUUAUAAACAGUGGCAUGUAAAACUAGUCUUGUUCAUUUAGUUCACCCCAAACCAGCAGAAUUUGCACACUGUCACUUAAUUUCUGCUGCUUGAAUCCUUAUUAAAUUAUUAGCCACAGAAGAGGUACAGAUUUAAAGUAAUUAAUUCAAAUAAACAAUCAAAUAAAUAAAGACUGCAGCAAUUAACAUUUUGUCAGAACCUCAAGUAAAUUAAUUAUUUUGUUUAGUUGUCUGUUCAGAAUAGUGGGAGAAUCAUGAUCUCUAUUUGAAACUAAAACAAUCGUAAUUCUCAAUUUAUCCAGAAUUGUGGAGCUCGGCUUCUGUUUCUCUUAUACAGUGACGGACAACUGGUAAUUUCGAACCCUGACACAGGAGCGGAGCCAUAAUUUCAGAAGUGAGUUUGUUUUUUUUUGUUCUAAUUUAAAGGUUUUAUUAUUAUUAUUAUUAUUAUUAUUAUUAUUAUUAUUAUGUAGUGUAGUUUUGUUUUUUUUUUUUUGUUUCUAAUUUAAAGGUUUUAUUAUUAUUAUUAUUAUUAUUAUUAUUAUUAUUAUUAUUUUCCUAUCUAUUACUUUUAAUUGGCUGAGAAAUCAAAUAGCCUACACUGCUGAACAAUUUUUGUAUUCUAUAAUAUUUUCCUAAUUAAGAUUUCAAUGGUUUGUUUAUACUUUUUUUGUUUGUUUGUUUUUUAGCACAGAAUAAGGCAGAAGAUAUAUUUUAUUAUUUCUAUCCACCUUAUUUUUCCCGUAAGUGUGGGCGCAGCCAUUUGUAAAUUUUUUGGGUCUGGCUUCUGAUGUCAUCUACUUGUUAUUUUUAGCUGAACAAAACAGCUUGUUUUGCUGCUUGAUAUUGCAAACUGGUCUGUCAUAUUAUUUUAAUGUAUUGUCUUAAUUAUGAACACACUGGUUUAUAGUGCAAACAGUUUUACCGUUUACUGCGCGUUGUCAUUCUUCUCGAUAUUUCCCUACAGUGGCUGGGAGAGGUGUGAGUGAGGCCAGCAGGGGGUGCUCACACCGGUGGUCUGUGUGGGUCUUGACGCCCCAGUUUAGUGACGGUCACACUAUACUGUCAAAAAGCACCUUCUUUCGGAUGACAUGUUAAACCAAGGUCCUGACUCUCUGUGGUCAUUAAAAAUUCCAUGGCACUUCUCGUACAGAGUAGGGGUGUAACCCUGGUGUCCUGGAUAAUUUGCCCCUUGACCUUUGUCAAUCAUGGCCUCCUAAUAAUCCCAAACCACUUGAUUGGCUCUGUCUCUCUCUCCUCUCCGCCUGUAGCUGGUGUGUGGUGAGCGCACUGGCGCCGUUGUCCUGUGGCUGCCGUCGCAUCAUCCAAGUGGAUGCUGCACACUGGUGAGACCCUCCCACAUGAUUGUAAAGCGCUUUGGGUGUACAACAAUACACAAUAAAGCGCUAUAUAAAUGCAUCAUUCAUUCAUUCAUUCAUUAAUGAACCGGAACUCUUGCACAUUCACAGAAAACAACUUACUUCUGCAUUGAAAAAUAAGGUGGAUAGCCAACUGUAAUAAAUGCUAUAUUAUAGCACUGCAUUAUUCAGAUGCUUUUUUUAUUACCUGGAGAUGACUUGAAAAACAACAUAAACCAUAUAUUGUCGCAAUCGUGUGUUUAAUGUCUUCAUGUUUCAUCAGUCAAAACGUUUCUUUUUAUUCAGUUUAGCUACAGCUGAGAUUACUGUGAUUACAGAGAUAGCUGGAUGCCGUUAUAUAUUUUAGGGAAUUCCUGGCACAUCAUAAUUACUUCUAUGAGGCUGUUUUGGACUUUCUGUGUGAGAGUAUGAAUGAAACAUUCACUGCAUGAGAGUGUUUACGCCUCUGUCCGGAUCGCAUCACUGUAUUUACUGGGUGUUUUUAGGGAAUAUUUGCAUUUAUUCACAUGCAAUUGGAUUAGCUAAUCAUGUGCUGGACUGUCACGGUUUUGGCUAUGCAGGACAUUACUGAAUGAUGUGCAUCAGAGAGCAAUUAGAAGUGGGUAUACGCAAUGCUGACUGAUAAAGAAGUGGGUAUACGCCAUAUACCUGUGUUUACCCUGCACUACACCACUGUUAGAUGGUAUUUUAAUUUUGAGAACUGGAAUUACAAAAUCAACUAAUUUAACAGUGUGUUGAGGUGCUUUAAAAAGUGUUUUAAAUAGUAUUUUGGUGAAGAGUCAUCAGAAUGGUUUACAGUACACCCUCGUGAGAUGAAGACUGUACUCAUAAUAGUCUUCUAUAAAAAAGUGUUUUAAUUGUAUAUGGUACGGUUCGGCCCCUUAAUGUAGCUUACAUUAUACCUAUGUCCUGCAUCAUCCAAUGGAACGCCACUCUCUUGUGAACACACAUAUGACAGUUUGCAGAAGCUAGAGAUUACUGUAUGUAAAAUGUUAUGUUUUUCUUACACAAGUGCAUCGCUUCCCUUCAAAAGGCCUUUAUUAACCCCCUGAGCCGUGUGAAGUACAUUUUAUGAUGGAUGGACACACUUUUUUGGGCAUUAAAAUCUCGAUCACCAUUCACUGCCAUCACAAAGCUUAGAAGAGCCAGGAUAUUUUUUAAUACAACUCCUAUUGCAUUCAUCUGAAAGAAGAAAAUCAUAUACACCUAACUUGAGGGUGAGUAAAUUAUGGGUAAUUUUCAGUUUGGGGUGAACUAUCCCUUUAAUGCAACUGGAAUCUUACCUGAAAUAUAUUACUGUGCUAUUGCCCUUGUCACAACUUUCCUGGGUGACAACUAGCCUAGGUCUAGGGCUCUCCCCACCCCACGCUGGGUGUAUUUUGUAUUAUAUUUAAGUACAUGUUCAAAAAUGUGAAUGAAAUGCAUUUCCUGAUAAUACAUCUGAAUAUGUGGCAACUCAUUGUCAUCAAAUAAAUAAAGAAAUAAAAAUUAAAUAAAUAAAUAAAUUCAGUUACAUUCAAUUACAUUUAAUGAUUUUUCCUUUGAUCUUUCAUAUUUUGCAUGUUUAUUUUUCCUCACGCACAUCACAAUGGAAUAGUAGUCAAAGUGGUAAUUUGAAUACACAAAUAAUACAAGUGUAUGGCAUCUGAUCUAGUGGAAAAGUUCAUGUAAGCUUUGCAUGAAUGCUCAGUUAAUUUAAAGAGCGACUGAGAUAUUGACUGACCAAAUUGUCAGUGCUGGUACUGCAUUGAAGAAAAUCUUGUCUUGUGAUCAGGCUUUUUAAAAUUAAAUUUUACUCAUGUGUAAAAUUUCAGGCUACUACUCAUGAUGAUCCCAGAACACACUUUACUCACGUGACAUUGACAUAUUAAUCUAUCACUAACUGCUCUUCUCAGUCAGGAAUUAGUUCCAUAUUACACUGCGAUUACUGAGAGAGAUGU
rnacentral:lncRNA from 1 species